UCCCCCGUCCUUGCAACAGUUUAAAUGCAUUCUUGGAUUACAUAGGAUCUGCUUUCCACAAAUACAGAAGGAAUUGAGGUGAAUAAAAACUGAAGUUUAGCAAGGUUCUUUCCACAACAGAAGGAUCUGCUUUCCAAGGUUCUUUCAUCAGAACCUGAACGUCAGUACAAUAAAAACUUUAGUGAUAUACACACCUUCUAGCUUUCCUCGAUCAUCCCGUAGUUUAGCAUCCAUCUCUUUGCUGGGAGGAUAUUUUGGAAGGCUUGAAGGGUCAUAAGCAAAAGGUAUGGUUGUAAAAAUUUUUGCAACAUACAGAUAAAGAUAUGGUCACAAAGUAUUAAUAUACUACUAAACUCUGGGAUCAAGAAAGAAACAAUAUGCAGGCAUGAUGGAAUGACAAAGAGACCUGUACUGCUAGGAGAGUCAGAAACAAGCCAAACUAAGCAAAAAUGCAAACACAGAUGGAAUGACAAAGAGACCUACACAUAAAAAAUGCAAACACAGAUGGAAACGAGGAUUGAGGCGAAAAAAAUGAAAAAGAUAGCAGUAUGUCCAUGUACUCCAAAUUUAUAUACCAAUAGUCUUUUGAUAUCAAUGAAUUUCAGCAUUAACUUUGCCAAAUUUCUUGAGUCAUGCUCAAUUAACAAUUCCUGGACAUAUGUUUGAAAAGGUACAGAAGCACACCCAGUGGUAAAGUUGCAAAUUGUCUUUUCC
rnacentral:lncRNA from 1 species